rnacentral:rRNA from 1 species
GACGAACGCUGGCGGCGUGCUUAACACAUGCAAGUCGAACGAAGUGGCGAACGGGUGAGUAACGCGUAAGCAACCUGCCCUUCAGAGGGGGACAACAGUUGGAAACGACUGCUAAUACCGCAUACUGAAGGGGGGGAUUGCGUGGGAUUAGCUAGUUGGAGGGGUAACGGCCCACCAAGGCGAUGGUCAGUAGCCGGGUUGGAGGGGUGACCGGGCACCAUGGGAAUGAGGCACGGGCCAGACUCCUACGGGAGGCAGCAGGGGGGGAUCAUUCGCAAUGGAGGGAAGUCUGGCUGCGCAACGGCGCGUGAGGGAUGACUGCCCUUGGGUUGGAAAGCUCUGUUCAGCGGGGCGCGGUACCGGAAGAGAAAGCCACGGCUAACUACGUGCCAGCAGCCGCGGUAAUUC